GACGAACCGAGCGAACGUUAUUCGGAAUCACUGGGCUUAAAGGGUGCGUAGGCGGGCUGUCAAGUCUGGGGUGAAAUCCCACGGCUCAACCGUGGAACUGCCUCAGAUACUGAUGGCCUCGAGGAAGGUAGGGGCAUGCGGAACUGUAGGUGGAGCGGUGAAAUGCGUUGAUAUCUACAGGAACUCCGGUGGCGAAAGCGGCGUGCUGGACCUUUUCUGACGCUGAGGCACGAAAGCUAGGGGAGCAAACGGG
rnacentral:rRNA from 1 species